rnacentral:rRNA from 1 species
AUUGAACGCUGGCGGCAUGCUUUACACAUGCAAGUCGAACGGCAGCACGGGGGCAACCCUGGUGGCGAGUGGCGAACGGGUGAGUAAUGCAUCGGAACGUGCCCCGUCGUGGGGGAUAACACAUCGAAAGAUGUGCUAAUACCGCAUACGACCUGAGGGUGAAAGCGGGGGACCGCAAGGCCUCGCGCGAUGGGAGCGGCCGAUGUCUGAUUGGCUAGUUGGUGGGGUAAAGGCCUACCAAGGCGACGAUCAGUAGCUGGUCUGAGAGGACGACCAGCCACACUGGGACUGAGACACGGCCCAGACUCCUACGGGAGGCAGCAGUGGGGAAUUUUGGACAAUGGGGGCAACCCUGAUCCAGCCAUGCCGCGUGAGUGAAGAAGGCCUUCGGGUUGUAAAGCUCUUUCGGCCGGGAAGAAAUCGCACGGGCUAAUACCCUGUGUGGAUGACGGUACCGGAAUAAGAAGCACCGGCUAACUACGUGCCAGCAGCCGCCGUAAAAC